rnacentral:rRNA from 1 species
UACGUAGGGCGCAAGCGUUGUCCGGAAUUAUUGGGCGUAAAGAGCUCGUAGGCGGUUUGUCGCGUCUGCUGUGGAAACUCGAGGCUCAACCUCGGGCUUGCAGUGGGUACAGGCAGACUAGAGUGCGGUAGGGGUGACUGGAAUUCCUGGUGUAGCGGUGGAAUGCGCAGAUAUCAGGAGGAACACCGAUGGCGAAGGCAGGUCACUGGGCCGCAACUGACGCUGAGGAGCGAAAGCAUGGGGAGCGAACAGG